rnacentral:rRNA from 1 species
UCGAGAAUCUUCCGCAAUGGGCGAAAGCCUGACGGAGCGACGCCGCGUGUAGGAUGAAGGCCCUCGGGUUGUAAACUACUGUCACGGGUUAUGAAUGUGCAUAUGUUAACAGCGUGUGUAUUGACGUAAGCCCGAAAGGAAGCACCGGCUAACUCUGUGCCAGCAGCCGCGGUAACACGGGGGGAGCAAGCGUUGUUCGGAUUCAUUGGGCGUAAAGAGCUCGUAGGCCGCUCUGUAAGUCGGAAGUGAAAGACCACGGCUCAACCGUGGAAACGCUUUCGAAACUGUGGAGCUUGAGGCCGGGAGAGGAGAUCGGAAUUCCUGGUGUAGCGGUGAAAUGCGUAGAUAUCAGGAGGAACACCCGUGGCGAAGGCGGAUCUCUGGACCGGUUCUGACGCUGAGGAGCGAAAGCUAGGGGAGCAAACAGGAUUAGAUACCCUCGUAGUCCCUGAGCGGGCUGGCAAGGCGCAU